UAAAAAUUGUAGAUUUCCAAAACGUCGAUCUUUACUUAAAAAAAAAUCAAUCAGAUUUUUAAUAUUGUUGUAUCUUGUUAUACUGUAUACUUAUUAAUUUGCAAUUUAAUUAGAUCUAUAUUUAACAAUACAAAAACUCGCAUUUAUAAAUAAAUACGACUCAUCACUGUAUGAGUUGAUACGAAUUGAAAUAAACACGUGUUUCCGCUUUGGUGUAAACAUGAUGGUGAUCCGAAAUCUGAACGUCAAUUUUCAUGAUUAUUUCACGACGAAGAUCAUCACAUCAAUGAAUCAAAUAAUACGGACAUGCCUUUGGUAUUAGCAGUGUGCGUGUUUCGUAUCGUUCAGCCAAUUUUGCAUUGCUUUUGAACUUUGAUGCUUUUGACAAUCACUCGUAAGUUCAAAGUAAAAUCAAAGUUGUCAUAAUAAUGGAUAGUUGUUUUCAGUAUCUAUGUACCAGUGUGUACAUGUACCACUUUCACAUUGAAAUUUUAGGGUGCUUUCAGCAUAUUCAACAAUACUUUCAUCUGUGAAUACCCACUUUCUAAGCCCACCAUGAACUACGAAGGUCAAUUAAUAUGUAAGGACACCAAUGAACAGUUUUUCAGACACUUUCCAAUUAUCCUACAUCAUAUACAUGGAUGGUCAAACUCACUGGAUGGUUUAUCAACACUCCCAUGCUCACGAACAGCCUUGCGCCAGGAAUUUUGCCCUGAAGUAACAUUGCAGUCUAUUGUCUCCUUUCUUUUUACAACCCUGGCAGCCAUGCAGGAUAGAAGUUGAUCACUUGUACCUGACAGCAAAUAAUGUCUUGGACAAGUCAAAGAAUUUCCUCCAGUCUUACAGAGAAAUGACAGUUGAUAAAAGAAUGGUGGACACAAAGUAAAAGUGCACUUCAACAUUUUGUUGAAGAUUUCAGUCUGAUUUGGAAUUCAUCUUGCAAUAUUUCUGGAUUUGUAUAUUUGGAUAUAAGCGUCAAAUUUUCAACUUAUUGACUAAACAGUUUUGCAUUAAAUAUUGCCAAUGCUAUCUAUUAUUAUUAUUUCCCUCCAAGAUAACAUGUCAAGUCUUUAUUGUACCCCUUAAGCUCUGUUAUACCAGAAAAAUCUUGUAAUGAAAUCAUUUUGUUUUUUUUUUCUUUUUAAAUUAAAUCCAUGAAA